UAAAACGUAGGACGCAAGCGUUAUCCGGAGUUACUGGGCGUAAAGCGCGGGCAGGCGGUUCUGCCAGUCUGAUGUGAAAUCUCUCAGCUCAACUGGGAGCAGCCAUUGGAAACUACAGAACUGGAGUCUGACAGAGGUAGGCGGAAUUCCGGGUGGAGUGGUGAAAUGCGUAGAGAUCCGGAGGAACACCAGAGGCGAAGGCGGCCUACUGGGUCAGUACUGACGCUGAGCCGCGAAAGCCAGGGGAGCGAACGGGAUUAGAAACCCCGGUAGUCCUGGCCGUAAACGAUGUGUGCUGGGUGGUGGGGGGUCUCCCUUCACUGCCGAAGCUAACGCGAUAAGCACACCGCCUGGGGAGUACGGUCGCAAGGCUA
rnacentral:rRNA from 1 species